rnacentral:rRNA from 1 species
AUACGGAGGAUGCAAGCGUUAUCCGGAUUUAUUGGGUUUAAAGGGUGCGUAGGCGGAUGAUUAAGCGUGAGGUGAAAUGCCACUGCUCAACAGUGGAACUGCCUCGCGAACUGGUUGUCUUGAAUGCUCCUGCCGUGGGAGGAAUGUGUGGUGUAGCGGUGAAAUGCAUAGAGAUCACACAGAACACCGAUUGCGAAGGCAUCUCACGAAGGGGUGAUUGACGCUGAGGCACGAAAGCGUGGGGAUCAAACAGGAUUAGAUACCCUGGUAGUCCACGCAGUAAACGAUGAUAACUAACCGCUGGGUCGUAGUGAUUCAGUGGCCAAGCGAAAGCGAUAAGUUAUCCACCUGGGGAGUACGACCGCAAGGUUGAAACUCAAAUGAAUCGGCGGGG